rnacentral:rRNA from 1 species
UCCUACGGGACGCAGCAGUGAGGAAUAUUGGUCAAUGGGCGGGAGCCUGAACCAGCCAAGCCGCGUGAGGGAAGAAGGUACAGCGUAUCGUAAACCUCUUUUGUCAGGGAACAAAGGCGGGGACUAGUCCCCGGAUGAGGGUACCUGAAGAAAAAGCAUCGGCUAACUCCGUGCCAGCAGCCGCGGUAAUACGGAGGAUGCGAGCGUUAUCCGGAUUUAUUGGGUUUAAAGGGUGCGCAGGCGGCCUGUUAAGUCAGCGGUAAAAGCCCGGGGCUCAACCCCGGCGGGCCGUUGAAACUGGCGGG